CACCCCUGUUUUAGAUCUAGGGGAAAACCUGACUCAUAAUUAUUAUCUGGCUGGCCAGCACAACAUGUCUAACUUGGCUCCACUAUUGGUAGAUACUCCCCGUCUAAGAUAAGCGACAGUUACAUCGUUGCUUUCAAAGAUGAGCUCACAGCUGAACAAGUUUCCGCGGCAAUGGAAGCUGUCAGAGAGAUAUUCCGCGCAGCAGGGGGGAAGAAUAGUGUCAGCGCAGAGUUCAGCUUUAAAGCCUUCUCUGCUAUCAUGGAUCCUGAGUAAGCGUUUGGGAUAUUGAACGUUUAUUUUCCCACUCCCUCCCUCUUUCUUUGACACAGUCACUCCUCCCCUCACAUGCACAGCAAAGAACAGGGUGUCCCUGCAUGGUUGAGUAGCUAUAAUUAAGCUGAUUGAAUUUAGAAAUGCAGCCCAUAAUAAUGGAGCAUGCAAGAGGAAUCUUUAGUAUGGUCCUAUCUAUAGUCUCCUUCACAGGCCUUGGAUUGAAGAGUAGCCUGGGAUCGAGGCUAGGUCCUAUUAAGACCUCUAACAGAACAUGAACAAUGUCUCAAGAAAAGCACAAACAAUCCACUGGACCAAACUAUGAUCAUGAACUAGUUAUUAGAGAUAAACUUGUUUAAUUCCUCACACUAUAUAGCAUAAAUUAUAGCUAGCUAGCACUUCAAUUCUGUACAACACCAUAAUGAUUAUUAUCAUUUAAAUUUCUGAUUGUCAUUAAUUGCUACUGAUUUUUUAACGUGUAAUUA